UACGUAGGUGGCAAGCGUUGUCCGGAAUUAUUGGGCGUAAAGCGCUCGCAGGCGGUUUCUUAAGUCUGAUGUGAAAGCCCACGGCUCAACCGUGGAGGGUCAUUGGAAACUGGGAGACUUGAGUGCAGAAGAGGAGAGUGGAAUUCCACGUGUAGCGGUGAAAUGCGUAGAGAUGUGGAGGAACACCAGUGGCGAAGGCGACUCUCUGGUCUGUAACUGACGCUGAGGAGCGAAAGCGUGGGGAGCAAACAGG
rnacentral:rRNA from 1 species